ensembl:lncRNA
GUCGCUGUAACACCCGAAAUCUGGGAUCUGGGAUGGGAUUGAAAUGGGGGUUUAUUGGCACCCCUCAAAACGCUGCGCAUGCGCGCUGGCCUCCACGCGCUCCGUGCUGCCGCCUUGUGGGCACACCCGGUACUGCAGCUCCGAGCGCCCUCGGCGCUUCCCAGGCUCCGCCGGCACCGGGACACGGAGCUGGACCGGGACCACGACCGGGACAGCGACCGGGACAGCGACCGGGACCGGCCGUGCGGGACCGGCUGCCGGGGCUUCUCCCGGCGCCUCUCCCGGCAGGAACGGCGGCCGCUGUGCCGGGAGCGGCAGUGGCGGAUGAGGAAGCCAGGCCUGCUGAGGAGGAAGAUGAGGAGGUGUGGGAGGAUGGAGACAGCGGCCACCAAAGGCUGGGGAAGGCACAGAUCCAGAACAGAAGAGUGAGGAGAUGGGGAUGCUCCCAGCCAUCACAGAGAUGUGGGAACAGCCCAGUUCCAGUGAGGAAUGUGCCACAGGCUGGGGAUGCAUCCCCUGAAAACCAGUUCAGGACUGUUCAUCUGACUCUGCCCCUGACCUGUGGCUUCCAGGGAGCCUUCUGGUCUUCUGGAUAUUACCAGGAGAGGAUAUUCCAACACCUGCUUUUUGAGCCAGGAAUUCCAGACCCACAAAGAACAUCCAGAACUGCCUCCUCACCCUCAUGGACAGCAGGAAUGCCUUCCAUAGCUCUUGUUUUGGAAUGGGAAUGGCUGUUGGGAGCUCUGGCAGGAGCACCUGGAGACCAGCAGUGGGAUUGCUUUGGCUGCUGCUGGAGGACAUGGGCUGUGACAAGGGAAUUGGCCCCAGAUGGAUCACAGCAGGACUAUGGAAAUUCCCUGCACUGGGAGGUUGUGGUGCUCUGGGUUAAAUUUUGGAUUCAUAAUGUUAAAGGUGGGGUGUGGAGGGGCUUCUCUCCUGUUCAUUAUUGUUGUUAUCAAUGUUCUUGCUCUCAGUGUUACUAUGUGUUGUCAUUACUCUCAAAUGAUUGCAUUUGUCUUGGUUUCCAUUAUUAAACUGUUCUGAGCUGGAAUUUUGUCUCUGGUCUCUUCCCCAUCCCACGGGGGGUGAGGGAGCGGCUGCUGGUGCCCAGCUGGGGUCCAGCCGUGGCCCCGGGCACUUCUGGGGGCUCCGAACCCGAGGGACAGGAGCGGUUUUGGGCUCACAAAAAGAGACCCAGUGCUGCGUUUCGGGGGCUCAAAAGCAGGCGCAGAGCUUAAAAGCAGAGACUAAAUCCUGCACUGUGGAGUCCUGAGAGCAGGCUGGUAUGGCCAGAGCUGGGACUCAGAAACAGUGACUAAAUCCUGUUCUCAGGGCUUGAGGAAGAGAGCGAGUCCUGUGUGUUCGGGCUCACAAAGAGAAACGGAAGUGCUGCGUUCUGCUGGACUGAAUUAAAGCCCAAGUGCCGUGUUUUGAUGUUCAAAGCGGGCUCUUGGGGCCAGGGCGAGUCUGUGUCUCUGGGCUCCGAGUCCUGCCUCAGGCACAGCCCGAAGCCGGGCUCGCCGGCCCCACGCAGAGCUCGGGAGCAGCGACUCAGCGCCGCGUCCGGGGCUGGCGGCAGAGCCCGGGGCCGCGUCGUGGGGCCCAAGGCGGGCUCCGGGAGGGGCUCAGGGCUGGGAGCGGAGCCCGGCCCGGCGCGUCGGGCCCGGCUCGGGAUCCCGGGGCUGCCCGGGCGCCGGCACAGCCCCGGCUCCCCGCGGAGAGCCGGCCGGAGCAGGAGCGGCAGCGCCGGGCUCGGCCCCAGCGCCCGUCCCGGAGCGGCUCCUCCCGGUGCCGAUCCCAGCCCCGAUCCCGCCGGGGGAGAGGCGGCCCCGC